rnacentral:rRNA from 1 species
CUGACGUUAGCGGCGGACGGGUGAGUAACACGUGGGUAACCUACCUAUAAGACUGGGAUAACUCCGGGAAACCGGGGCUAAUACCGGAUAACACAUGAAACCGCAUGGUUUCAUGAUGAAAGACGGUUUUGCUGUCACUUAUAGAUGGACCCGCGGCGUAUUAGCUAGUUGGUAAGGUAACGGCUUACCAAGGCAACGAUACGUAGCCGACCUGAGAGGGUGAUCGGCCACACUGGAACUGAGACACGGUCCAGACUCCUACGGGAGGCAGCAGAG